rnacentral:tRNA from 1 species
UAAAAGAUAAGCUAACAAAGCUGCUGGGUUCAUACCCCAUUUAUAAAGGCAUCACUCCUUUUCUUUUUA